rnacentral:rRNA from 1 species
AGUGAACGCUGGCGGUAGGCCUAACACAUGCAAGUCGAACGGCAGCACAGUAAGAGCUUGCUCUUACGGGUGGCGAGUGGCGGACGGGUGAGGAAUACAUCGGAAUCUACUUUUUCGUGGGGGAUAACGUAGGGAAACUUACGCUAAUACCGCAUACGACCUACGGGUGAAAGCAGGGGAUCUUCGGACCUUGCGCGAUUGAAUGAGCCGAUGUCGGAUUAGCUAGUUGGCGGGGUAAAGGCCCACCAAGGCGACGAUCCGUAGCUGGUCUGAGAGGAUGAUACACAACACGGCACCAAAAGACCGUGCCGGCUUCCAAGGGGGGCAGCAGUGGGGAAUAUUGGACAAUGGGCGCAAGCCUGAUCCAGCCAUACCGCGUGGGUGAAGAAGGCCUUCGGGUUGUAAAGCCCUUUUGUUGGGAAAGAAAAGCAGCAGGUUAAUACCCCGCUGUUCUGACGGUACCCAAAGAAUAAGCACCGGCUAACUUCGUG